rnacentral:lncRNA from 1 species
UUUUUUUUUUUUUUUGCAUUUCAGGGCUGCACCUGCAGCACAUGGAUGUUCCCGGGCUAGGGGUCUAACAGGAGCUGCAGGGGCCAGCCUCCCCCACAGCCUCAGCACCAGUGUGACAGUUCACCCAUCACCCUUUCUGUAAUCCUCCUGCCACCCUCGGGUCCGCUCAACCCAUGGAGAGGGCUUGGAGUUUCACCCAGACACACACAUUCUUCUUUGUAGAUCCUUUGAAAAGGAAAAUAACUUUGAUCCACCGUGGCGUUCUGGGUAUUCAAAUGGCGUAUAAUUCACGUCCUGUGUCGUGUUCAUUUCGAGGGUCCAGCAAAGUGAUUCCUGUACACACACCGACGUACCCCGCACAUGGAUGCCUUUUCAGAUUCUUGGAGAAGGAAAAUAAUUGGAUCCACCAUCGCCUUCUGGUUACUCCAGUUGAGUAUAAUGGAUUUCCAGUGCUCUGCUAGCGUCAAGUGUACAGCAAGGUGGUUCAUUUACACAUAAAAGCACACGCGUGCGCACACACACUCACACACGUGCAUAUUCUUUUUUGGAUUCUUGGAAAAGGAAAAUAACUUUGAUCCACCAUGGCCUUCUGGGUAUACCCCAAGGUCACAGGUGCCUGCUCUUCUGUUUCCCACCUGCUGCAACGGCCGUGUUUUAUUGUAUUCUUACGUCUGUUUUUUGACGUUGUACUGAAGUAGAGUUAACGUGCGAGGCUGUGAUGGUUUCUGCUGGACGACAAAGGGAUGGAGAGACACACGUACACACGUGCAUUCUCUCUCAGAUUCUUUCCCCAGAGAUGAUCGCGGAAUAUUGGGUCAAGUUCUCUGUGCUCGACAGCAGGUCCCUGUCGGCCAUCCGCUCCAUGUACAUAUGCAAUGGCAGUCUUUGUGUGUGUGUGCGUGUGUGCCUUUUAGGGCCAUACCCGUGGCACAUGGAUGUUCCCAGGCUAGGGGUUGAAUGAGAGCUGCCGGCCUCCACCACAGCCACGGCGACCGUGGAACAGUUAAUCCAUCCAUCACCGUUUCUGUAAUCCUGGAGCGGAUCCUUGGGUCCCCUCAACACACUGAAAAGUCUUGGAGUUUCAGAGAAAUAAAACAUCACACCCGGGGGUCAAAGUCUGGGCUUCUUCCAGGAAAGCCCUCCCAAUAUUGCUUCUGCUCCAUGAUGGGGGUUUAUAUUAGGGCUACAAGGAGUUCCCAGGGGUGAGGGGAGCGCUCAGCGAGUUAAGAAUCCCACUAGUAUCCAUGACGAUGCAGGUCGGAUCCCUGGCCUCGCUCCGUGGGUUAAGGGUCCGGUGUUGCCGUGAGCGGUGGUGUGGUUUGCAGAUGAGGCUUGGAUCCGGUGUGGCUGUGGCUGUGGUGUAGACCUGCAGCUGCAGCUCCGAUUCGACCCCUCACCUGGGAACCUCCAUACGCUGAGGGUGGGACCCUAAAAAAAUAAUUAAAAAAGGAAAAAGAACAGUUGAGAGGAGAGAAAGAUGCCUGGGGGAUCCUUGGAUCACAGACAACUGAGGGGGAUGAGGCAUGAAUUUCACAAACUUCACGAACAUUAGGAUUUUAAUUACCCAGCUGGAAUACCCCUUGCAUUUUAUGUUGGCUCAAAGAAUCCAUAAAAAUAACUGAGCACAUUUCCAAGGUUGCCAGGGAGAGAAGAAUCCGUUUGCUUCAUGCCUCUGGCGUUCGGGCGAGGUGUGCUCCAUUAUUUGACUGUAAAGUUUAACUUCAUGUGCCGGCAGAAGGAUGUAUUUUUCUUGGUGGAAACACACACAUGCAAAUGGAAGACACUGACACGUUAGACCGUGAAAUACUUUACGAAGAGAAAACCUGUUAAGUUCUUUUCUGUGUGUGCUUUUCGGAGGUGCCUUCAGCACUAAGAAGAUUUAAAAAAAAAAAAAAAAAAAAAGUCACGCCAAACCAAAAGGUGAAAAAAAGAGAGAGGAAGGAUGAAAAGUCCGUGCUGGGAUUCCACUGGCACGACAUCCAUGCACAUGCUUUUCAACCAAUCCAGUUCUCAGAGAAAUAGUUUCUCCUUUGGCGGAGUUCCCAUCUCAGAAGCGGAAAAAGGCAGGAAUGCGGGAAUCACAGCCUGGUUUAACGCUUUAUCUGUCCAUUGAGCCCGAGGUUCUGCUAAUGAGGUCUUCGGAAGUCAAGGAGGUUCAGCGUCGUAAAGCAGUGUUAGGAAAAGUGUAAUUGUGGCAACUGUCCCCCCGCCUCCCCGCCCCCCCGCCGGGGGCACAGCAGCUGAGGCUCUGAGGGACCAGAAGGGCUGUUGGUGGGAGACAGGGACCUGUCCUUGCCAGACAAAGCUUUGGGAUGCCCAGGGCGACCCAGGGCAGGAUGCAGAGCACCGGAGGACCCACGGAGACCCCACCAGCAUCCUCCUCUUCUCCCCACGCUCCGUUCAUCCAACCACACACCGUGGCCCAGGACCAGCCUGCAUGUCCUCAGCCAUCGCAGGACCAGCCUGGACUCACCCAACCACACACCGUGGGUACCAGCCCAGGACCAGCCUGGUAAACAUUCUCCCAGGCCACUGCCCAAACCUGACAGGUACCUGUAGACAUGUUCCACCCACGGGACUGAGACGUGGACCCCACGAGUCCAGUGGGAGCUUGAGGCUCUCAUCCACCUGCAAAGCUAGACCUGGCUCUCUCUUGUUGCCCACCGGCGAAGCCAUCACAGGAGUCCCUGGGGAGUCCCCAGGGAGCCCCCGAUGAUGGAUGGUGUGUCUGACUCUUCAACCUGCCACGACAAAGCUGCAGCACCAAAGCACCCCCCACCCUGUUCCCACCAACAUAGGGAUGGAAACAAAGGGAUUCCCAGAGCGGUUAUAAACAGCCAUGUGUAUGUAUAAAGAAUGCAUACGUGUGUAUUUAUAUACCAUUGUAUCUCCUUGUAUUUAAUUGCAUACAAUGUAUACAUGGCCAUAUAAUGGAGCUUUCUGUAAAGGUUCGAUGACAUUUGGUAAAACAGGAAUAUUCUAUUUUCCCCAUAAUCUCUCCAUAAUCACCUCAAAAAGAGCCCCUGGUCAGAUUCCUAAAUUCAAACUGGGAUAAAGGGGCGUUCCCAUCGUGGCUCAGCGGGAAUGAAGCCAACUAGUAUCCCUGAGGAUGUGGGUUCGAUCCCUGGCUUCCCCCAGUGGGUUAAGGAUCUGAUGUUGCCGUGCGCUGUGGUGUAGAUUACAGACCCGUUUCGGAUGCCGCGUUGCUGUGGCGGUGGCGCAGGGCAGCAGCUUCAGCUCCGAAUCAGCUCAGCCUGGCAAUUUCCAUACGCUGUGGGUGUGGCCCUAAAAAGCAAAUAAAGAAAUAAGCGUAUAAAGAAAUGUAUAAAAAAUAAAUAAACCUGGGAUAAGGGAUUUUUUUUCCUUUUCCCAGUCCGCACUUUACUGUGGGGUUUCUGCGAUGCCAAGUUUGCCUCUGGCUCCAGGUGGACGGGCCCUAGUGCUGGCAGAGCCCCGUGGUGUCACGUUAGAACAAAGAGCCAUGGUGUCCAGGCAAGUGUAAAGGCUGCUUCUCCUUGACCGUCGAGGGAGGACUGGGCAUUAUGACCCCGAGGCUCACAGACACUGCAUCUCCGAGGCUCCAGUGUAGACAAGUCCCCUGUGGGGAGGGGACGCGAUACAGCCCACCCGUUAGUGCUGCCUCCUCAGCAGGAGCUGGUGCUAAUGAGGGGAGCUCUGCUUGUCAGGGACCUGACGGCUCUGCUGAGCCACGACGGGGCCGCCUAGGAACGAUUUUUAAGAGUCAGCCCAGGGAGUUCCCAUGGUGGCUCCGUGGAGAAUGAAGCCGACCGGUACCCAUGAGGAUGUGGGUUCGAUUCCUGGCCGCGCGUGUGGGGGGUUAGGGAUCUGGUGUGGCUGUGGCUGUGGCUGUGGCGUAGCUCCGAUGCGCCUCCUAGCCUGGGAACCUCCAUGUGCCGCAGGGGUGGCCCAAAAAGCAAAAAAAAAAAAAAAAAAAAAGAGCACAGAUGUAUGUACGGGUUAGGGUAAGAAAGCGAGGCGUUUCUUGGAGAAAACCAUAGCAGCACCCGAAUUUUAUAAACGGCGGGGUUCUGCUGCUGGUGGGGGGACCCAGAGCAUGUGGUCUUGCUUUACGCCCUCCCCUCGGGAUGGUCGUGAUUACAUGGGUCCGAUGACUUUGGCAAAUCGGUUAUUUUCCUCUUUCUGCCUUUCCGAUGCUGGCGUGUGUCUGU